GAUGAACGCUGGCGGCGUGCCUAAUACAUGCAAGUCGAGCUAACAGACGAGGAGCUUGCUCCUCUGACGUUAGCGGCGGACGGGUGAGUAGCACGUGGAUAACCUACCUAUAAGACUGGGAUAACUUCGGGAAACCGGAGCUAAUACCGGAUAAUAUAUUGAACCGCAUGGUUCAAUAGUGAAAGACGGUUUUGCUGUCACUUAUAGAUGGAUCCGCGCCGCAUUAGCUAGUUGGUAAGGUAACGGCUUACCAAGGCGACGAUGCGUAGCCGACCUGAGAGGGUGAUCGGCCACACUGGAACUGAGACACGGUCCAGACUCCUACGGGAGGCAGCAGUAGGGAAUCUUCCGCAGUGGGCGAAAGCCUGACGGAGCAACGCCGCGUGAGUGAUGAAGGUCUUCGGAUCGUAAAACUCUGUUAUUAGGGAAGAACAAAUGUGUAAGUAACUAUGCACGUCUUGACGGUACCUAAUCAGAAAGCCACGGCUAACUACGUG
rnacentral:rRNA from 1 species